GUCUGUCGGGGUUGUAGGACGUCUCACACGGAGUGAGAAAGGCGAGGGAUAGGUGAAGUGGUUCUGGAAAGACCCGCGAUAAAAGGUAACAGCCCUGUAACCGAAAUCCUUCGCCCUCCGAGACGGAUCCUGAGUACCGCGGGACACGUGAAACCCCGUGGGAAGCUGGGAGGACCACCUCCCAAGGCUAAAUACUCCCUGGCGACCGAUAGUGAACCAGUACCGUGAGGGAAAGGUGAAAAGCACCCCGGGAGGGGAGUGAAAGAGAACCUGAAACCGUGUGCUUACAAUCAGUCGGAGCUCCUUUGAGGAGUGACGGCGUGCCUUUUGUAGAAUGAACCGGCGAGUGACGGUUGCGUGCGAGGUUAAGGUGAGAAGCCGGAGCCGCAGCGAAAGCGAGUCUGAACAGGGCGCAUGAGUACGUAGUCGUCGACCCGAAACCGGGUGAUCUACCCAUGUCCAGGGUGAAGUUCCGGUAACACGGAAUGGAGGCCCGAACCUUUUGG
rnacentral:rRNA from 2 species